GAUGAACGCUGGCGGCGUGCCUAAUACAUGCAAGUCGAACGAAACUUCUUUAUCACCGAGUGCUUGCACUCACCGAUAAAGAGUUGAGUGGCGAACGGGUGAGUAACACGUGGGCAACCUGCCCAAAAGAGGGGGAUAACACUUGGAAACAGGUGCUAAUACCGCAUAACCAUAGUUACCGCAUGGUAACUAUGUAAAAGGUGGCUAUACUACCGCUUUUGGAUGGGCCCGCGGCGCAUUAGCUAGUUGGUAGGGUAAAGGCUUACCAAGGCAAUGAUGCAUUGCCGAAUUGAGAGGUUGAGCGGCCACAUUGGGACUGAGACACGGCCCAAACUCCUACGGGAGGCAGCAGUAGGGAAUCUUCCACAAUGGGCGAAAGCCUGAUGGAGCAACGCCGCGUGGGUGAAGAAGGUCUUCGGAUCGUAAAACCCUGUUGUUAGAGAAGAAAGUGCGUGAGAGUAACUGUUCACGUUUCGACGGUAUCUAACCAGAAAGCCACGGCUAACUACGUG
rnacentral:rRNA from 1 species